CUCAGAGCGAGUUCGCUGCUGCUGGCGCCUUGCUGCUUGGCGAUUGGGUGCUUGGAGACUCCGGACCGGCUUGUGGAUCCUGGGUGGGCGUGGAGAGCUGCUUCAAUGGUUUGACUACCUUGUUCAAUCACAAUGUAACACGAGGCAUACCUUAUAUUUUAAUAUGAUAAUGCAAGACAUUGAAAAGACAAGAACCCUGGGCUGGAGAGAUGGCUCAGUGGUUAAGAGCACCCGACUACUCUUCCAGAGGUCCUGAGUUCAAUUCCCAGCAACCACAUGGUGGCUCACAACCAUCUGUAAUGGGAUCCGAUGCCCUCUUCUGGUGUGUCUGAAGACAGCUACAGUGUACUUAUAUAAUGAAUAAAUACAUUUUUAAAAAAAAUGAAAAGACAAGAACCCUAAGUAUUACACGGGCACCAAGAUUUCUGAGGUAACCAG
ensembl:lncRNA